AUUGAACGCUGGCGGCAUGCUUUACACAUGCAAGUCGAGCGGUAACAGGCCUUCGGGUGCUGACGAGUGGCGAACGGGUGAGUAAUGCAUCGGAACGUACCCAGAGGUGGGGGAUAACGCAGCGAAAGCUGUGCUAAUACCGCAUGUGAUCUGAGGAUGAAAGCGGGGGACCGAGCAGCAAUGUUUGGCCUCGCGCCUUUGGAGCGGCCGAUGUCGGAUUAGCUAGUUGGUGGGGUAAAGGCCUACCAAGGCGACGAUCCGUAGCUGGUCUGAGAGGACGACCGGCCCCACUGGGACUGAGCCCCGCCCCAGCCUCCUACGGGAGGCAGCAGUGGGGAAUUUUGGACAAUGGGCGCAAGCCUGACCCAGCAAUGCCGCGUGCGGGAGAAGGCCUUCGGGUUGUAAACCGCCUUUGGCAGGAACGAAACGGUGUCCGCUAAUACCGGGCGCUAAUGACGGUACCUGCAGAAUAAGCACCGGCUAACUACGUG
rnacentral:rRNA from 1 species